GUUCCCGUAGCCUAAUUGGAUACGGCGCUACCCUCCGGAGGUAGAGACUGAAGGUUCGAGUCCUUCCGGGAACGCCA
rnacentral:tRNA from 1 species